rnacentral:rRNA from 1 species
UGGGGAAUUUUGGACAAUGGGCGAAAGCCUGAUCCAGCAAUGCCGCGUGUGUGAAGAAGGCCUUCGGGUUGUAAAGCACUUUUGUCCGGAAAGAAAUCCUUGGCUCUAGUACAGUCGGGGGAUGACGGUACCGGAAGAAUAAGCACCGGCUAACUACGUGCCAGCAGCCGCGGUAAUACGUAGGGUGCAAGCGUUAAUCGGAAUUACUGGGCGUAAAGCGUGCGCAGGCGGUUUGCUAAGACCGAUGUGAGAUCCCCGGGCUCAACCUGGGAACUGCAUUGGUGACUGGCAGGCUAGAGUAUGGCAGAGGGGGGUAGAAUUCCACGUGUAGCAGUGAAAUGCGUAGAGAUGUGGAGGAAUACCGAUGGCGAAGGCAGCCCCCUGGGGCCAAUACUGACGCUCAUGCACGAAAGCGUGGGGAGCAAAACAGGAUUAGAUACCCUGGUAGUCCACGCCCUAAACGAUGUCAACUAGUUGUUGGGGAUUCAUUUCCUUAGUAACGUAGCUAACGCGUGAAGUUGACCGCCUGGGGAGUACGGUCGCAAGAUUAAAACUCAAAUGAAUUGAC